rnacentral:lncRNA from 1 species
GUUUGGGGCUCCAUUUGGGUGCCUAAAGCUGUUUUUUCAGUUGCAUACAAAAAAAAAAAAGUUAUGCCUUAAAGAAAUGCAGGGAACCCCAAGCACCUUGUGUAGCUGAGUGGUUACUCCCUGUCUGCAGAUAGAAAUGACAUUUGUUGGCACACAGCAGAGUUGAGAACACAGCUCACAUCCCUCACUGCUGCUCUUUUCUCCACCCCCAGAGCCACCACAUCCCCUGGCCACCAGCACCGUUCAUGCAUGCUGAGCGACCACAGAGCCCUGCAAAGGCCUUCAUUUGAGGGUGGUUUGGACUAACAGUCUGAUGACAUUAUACUGCUCUGUUUGGCUCUGCUUGGAAAGGAAGGCAGACUUGCUACUUGAGGAUGCGCCGUAAUGUUACUUCGGCUCAGAGUGUAGGAAAAGAAAAAGUGCUAAUGGACCAAAUUAUGGCCCAGAGCAACGAGGCCACCAAUGACUUCAGCAGCACUGAGGAGGCCACCGCUGAUGUCUGAUGCGCAAGUAUCAGAGAGCAGUCUGACACAGCCAACUGGUUUCUUUUCCCCAUUUUACAAUUCGGAAAGUCCCUGAUUCCCCCAGCUGUAUCCCCUUCUGACAUUAAGCAGCAAUGUCGCUGCAGGACUGAUUGCUAACAUGGAGAUCAGUCUUCUCCAUCAGCCUCUGAGCUGCAUCUUCCAUUCGGCACAGUGAAAAAACCCAGCGCUAAGGCAGCACGUUGCUAUGAUCUUGAUGGAGCUUGUAUUUUAAAGUUCAAAGGAGCUUAAACAGUGGGAAAGCCCCUGUGGAAAAUCCAGUGUUUUCAUGUGCGAGUCAGGUUUUCAGUCAUGUAUCAGUUGUUGUUAUUUUCAGCGGCUGGUGUUUCAUUUCUGCACAGAAGCAAAUGUAAAAAAGCAAGCGAGCAAUUUAUAAUGGACUAAUCGAUGCUGGUGGUGGAUUCGCUGGUGCCUGUGCACUUAGCCUUGCCGAUGAUCAGAAAUUUCUCUUGA